GAAGGAGAGAACUAUGAGUUGAAGGAAGACGGUUUUGCAUGACUAUGCUAUGCCCCUGUAUACGCAAAGAUGUAGAGACACACACACACAGACAUACACACACACACACACACAGAGACACACACAGACACACACAAACACACACAGACACACACUGACAUAGAGACACACACACAGACACACACUGACACAGAGACACACACACAGACACACACUGACACAGAGACACACAGACACAGAGACACAGACACACACUGACACAGAGACACACAGACACACAGACAUACACAGACACACAUAGACACAGAGACACACACAAAGACACACAGUGACACACAGACACAGAGACACACACACAGACAUAUACAGACACACACAGACACAGAGACACACACUGACACAGAGACACACACAGACACACACUGACACACAGACACAGAGACACCCACAGACAUACACAGACACACACAGACACACACUGACAUACAGACACAGACAUACAAAAGACACACACACUACACAACACAUGCACACAUAGAGACACACAAAUGCACACACACAACACACACACAGACCCAUGUACAGGCACAGACACAGAGACGCAGACACACACACCACACACAUCACAUAGACACAUACACAGACACGCACAACACACAGACACACACAACACACACACUACACAACACAUGCACACAGAAACACACAGACAAAUGCACACACACAACACACACAGACACAUGCACAGACACAGAGACACACACAUAUACUACACAACAUGCACACACAAGACACACAGGCACACAGACACAGAGACACACACAACACACACAGACAUGCAUAGACACACACAACACACACAGCCAUAAACAUACAAACACUACACAACAGAGACACACACAACACACAGACACAUGCACAGACCCACACACACAGAUACCACACAACACACACACAGAUACAGACACAACAUAGACACACAUACAACACAUGCACAGACACAUACACAGAGACACACACAUACACGCAGACACAUGUACACAGACAUACACACAGGUACAGACACGCAGACACACUACAUAUGCACAGACACACAGACACUGGCACAGAAACACAUGGAGAUGACACAGACAUAAACACACAGACGCACACGUAUACACCAUAGUGAGGCUCAUCCCACUUCUGUGCUGUGAGUGGCAUAAUCUCUUAUUUCCUUUUUCAAUCAAGAAACCCUGACAUUUCCAACCACCACACAUGGGGUAAAUACGGUAGCACGGACCAAAACCGUAACAAACAAAACAACGCGCACACAUGCACACACACACACGCACACACACACACACGAA
rnacentral:lncRNA from 10 species